rnacentral:rRNA from 1 species
AUUGAACGCUGGCGGCAGGCCUAACACAUGCAAGUCGAGCGGCAGCGGGAAAGUAGCUUGCUACUUUUGCCGGCGAGCGGCGGACGGGUGAGUAAUGCCUGGGAAAUUGCCCAGUCGAGGGGGAUAACAGUUGGAAACGACUGCUAAUACCGCUUACGCGCUACGGGGGAAAGCGGGGGACCUUCGGGCCCUGCGCGCGUGCAUCUGCCCAGGGGGGAUUAGCUAGUUGGUGAGGUAAGGGCUUACCAAGGCGACGAUCCCUAGCUGGUCUGGGAGGAUGAUCAGCCACACUGGAACUGAGACACGGUCCAGACUCCUACGGGAGGCAGCAGUGGGGAAUAUUGCACAAUGGGGGAAACCCUGAUGCAGCCAUGCCGCGUGUGUGAAGAAGGCCUUCGGGUUGUAAAGCACUUUCAGCGAGGAGGAAAGGUUGAUGCCUAAUACGUAUCAACUGUGACGUUACUCGCAGAAGAAGCACCGGCUAACUCCGUGCCAGCAGCCGCGGUAAUAC